rnacentral:lncRNA from 1 species
CUUGGGCCAACUCUUUCUGAAGACCUUCGUUAGUAUGAAGAAGGCCUUCACGGUGAGUCCUUUCCCGAGCCAGGGCAGAUUUUAAGAGGGAAUUUUCCUUCCUCAACGCCUCCUCCUCGGAUUCAGCUUGGAGAGAUCUGGGACGCAGACGUCCGAAUACAGCAUUUUCCUGUACAUGUUCAGUGUUAUUCAAUCAGUUUCAGAUGUGUGAGUAUGAAAAUAAGUAAGCAAAGGAAGGAAAGAGUCAUUUUACCUUAGCCAAGUAGCUCAUGCCUUCGCUGAGCAAGUCCCCAUUCGAACUGUUCCCGAACCGAUGGUCAUCGGUCUCGCGA